rnacentral:rRNA from 1 species
GUCAAUCUGCUCAAUGAUAAUUUAAAUAGCUGCAGUAUACAUGACUGUACUAAGGUAGCAUAAUAAAUAGUUUUUUAAUUGAAAACUUGAAUGAAAGAAUUAAUGAAAUAUAUACUGUCUCAAAUAUAUUAAUUGAAAUUAAAAUUUUAGUUAAAAUGCUAAAAUUUAAUUAUGGGACGACAAGACCCUAUAGAAUUUUAUAUUUAUAUAUUUAAUUAAUAAUAAUUAAUUAUUUAAAUAUAUAAAUAUUUAGUUGGGAGGAUUAUUAAAUAAAAUUAACUUUAAUAAUAAAAUCUAUAAUAUUAGUAUUUUAAAAUGAUUAAAUUUUAUUGAUUAUAAGAUUAAAUUACCUUAGGGAUAACAGCGUAAUAACUUUUGAUAGAUCAUAUUAAUAAAGAUGAUUGCGACCUCGAUGUUGAAUUAAGAUAUUAAUUAGAUGUAGCUGUCUAAUUACAUAAGUCUG